ensembl:lncRNA
ACAGCCCAUUUGAAAGGAUAAAGUACUACUAUUUCUCUUCAGAAAAACUGAGCUGGAUGGAAAGUCGAGAUUAAUGUACGAAAACUGGAGGUCAGCUGGUCACAAUAAUAGGCAAAGAUGAUCAGUAUAAUUUGGCCUCAAUAAAGCUGAAAGAGGCACAUUGGAUUGGACUACAUGAUUUGUACACUGAAGGACACUGGAUGUGGGUGGACAGCACAAUUCUCUCAGGAGAAAUCAGGUGUGUAUUUAGGAAAUGAUUUUAUGAUUCCACUUGCCAUGACCAUAUUUGGGGUUUCCUGCCACCAUGUGGACUUGGGGGGUUGGCGCACUUUGCUGCUUCCCAGUCUGCAUGAGACGUCACAGUGGUAGAGGUCUUCACGGGUCCAAAAAUUUGUGCCGAACCCGAAAGAGACCCGUAAUGUACUACACUGAACCGACCCGGACCAUUCUAUUAUUUCAAAAGCUGGACCCGGACCCGUGUAGAUCCGAGAAAUGCCUACCCGGACCGGACCCGUCUCAGACCCGUCUAUUAUUUGAAAGCUGGACCCAAACCCGCCGGGAAGACACAGACCCGACUGGACCCGAUUGUCACAUAUUCCACCUUAAAUUGAUAUUACAAGUCAAUAAACCUGUUGCGAAAAAUACAACUUUUUGUCUUACCUAAUUUAAGGAGCCGUAGUCUCUCUUCCUUGUACUGGUCGGGUCCCGGGUCUCGGGUGCACUGUGAAGACCUCUAUAUCCAGGUACAUGUCCCAUUGUUAUAUGUUCGUAAAAUGUGCUUUUGUGAAAGUAUAUUGC